rnacentral:rRNA from 1 species
UAGGGAAUCUUCGGCAAUGGACGAAAGUCUGACCGAGCAACGCCGCGUGUGUGAAGAAGGUUUUCGGAUCGUAAAACUCUGUUGUUAGAGAAGAACAAGGACGUUAGUAAUUGAACGUCCCCUGACGGUAUCUAACCUGAAAGCCACGGCUAACUACGUGCCAGCAGCCGCGGUAAUACGUAGGUGGCAAGCGUUGUCCGGAUUUAUUGUGCGUAAAGCGAGCGCAGGCGGUUUCUUAAGUCUGAUGUGAAAGCCCCCGGCUCAACCAGUGAAGGUCAUUGGAAACUGGGAGACUUGAGUGCAGAAGAGGAGAGUGGAAUUCCAUGUGUAGCGGUGAAAUGCGUAGAUAUAUGGAAGAACACAAGUGGCGAGGGCGGCUCUCUGGUCUGUAACUGACGCUGAGGCUCGAAAGCAUGGGGAGCAAACAGG